rnacentral:tRNA from 1 species
UUGUUUUGGCAGAUUAGUGCAAUUGAUUUAGAAUCUUUAGAUGUAGACUUUUACAAAUAACAU